AAUCCAAUUAAACCAACAGUGUUGCGUUCUGGUUACACAACUGGAAAGAAGAUAAAAUCAUUCACAGAGAAACCCGAAAGACCAGAUUGAAAAGUAAAAGACCUGCCUUGGAUUUUGAUGUGUCUAGUUCCUUUUCAUUAAGAAAAUUUUUGUGGUAUCAUUUAACUAGAGUGACUAAGAUAAUUUCCAAAUGGGCUACUAUGGGUUGUACGUCAAUAAGAAGGACCUUGAUCCCAGAAAUAGGAAGUGGGAUUUAAGAAGCAAUCAUCUGUAAAAAGAACUGGGUAAUUCUUCAUGGUGAGAGAUUGCCCAGUACAUUUCAGGAUAUUUAGAUUCCUCAGUCUCAGGCCAGCAAAACC
rnacentral:lncRNA from 1 species